rnacentral:rRNA from 1 species
CCCUUAGAUGUUCUGGGCCGCACGCGCGCUACACUGAUGCAUUCAACGAGCCUAUCCUUGACCGACAGGUCCGGGUAAUCUUUGAAUCUGCAUCGUGACGGGGAUAGAUUAUUGCAAUUAUUAAUCUUCAACGAGGAGUGCCUAGUAGGCGCAAGUCAUCAGCUUGCGUCGAUUACGUCCCUGCCCUUUGUACACACCGCCCGUCGCCCCUACCGAUUGGGUGUGCUGGUGAAAUGUUCGGAUCGGCCGUUUGUCGCGGUUUCCGCGGCUCGUGGCUGAGAAGUUCAUUAAACCCUCCCACCUAGAGGAAGGAGAAGUCGCAACA